CAGUGCAUCAUGACAUGAGGUACAUCUCAGUGCAUCAUGACAUGAGGUACAUCUCAGUGCAUCAUGACAUGAGGUACAUCUCAGUGCAUCAUGACAUGAGGUACAUCUCAGUGCAUCAUGACAUGAGGUACAUCUCAGUGCAUCAUGACAUGAGGUCCUGCAGGUGACUACAACAUUGUGUUUACAGCAUUUGGCAGACAGAUUUAACUAGAGUGACUUACAGUUUAUACAGCUGAGCAAUUGAAGGUUAGGGGACCAGCGGUAGCAGCUCGGUGGACCUGGUAUUCGAGCUCACGACCAUCCGAUCUGUAGUCCGACACCUUAACCACUAGGCUACAACAUCCCCUUAUUUUAUAUGAUGGAUGUAAACAAUUUUACGUUCAGUAAGUCUAUCAUUUUAGCUUUUUAUUUAUUAUUUAUUACAGAAUCCUUAAGCAGAAUCCAGUGGAGAUGAUGUACUCUAAACAUGAUGAAAUGGAUUUACACAGAGGAACUGAUGAAAGAGAUCAGACUUUGAGAACCUCAGCUGAUCCGAGGUCAGUUGGGCAGCGUUUCCAAUCCGAGCGAGGCUGCGUGCUGUUUGGCCCUGAAGCGCAGGUUCUCGAUGCUGCUCGUCUUGCUGUUUAGACUGCUCCACACCUGCUGAGACAGAGACUGGUAAUACGACUGACACUGCAGAGGGCCGAGCGGAGACGCCAUGUUCAUGCUCAUGUUCAUGUUCAUGUUCAUGCCCAGGUAAGCUAAAGAAGACGAGGUGGAGGAGGAGGAGGAGGAUGGGGCGGCCAUGUCGAAGGGAGAGUAGUGCAUCAGGUUGUUGGUGGUGGCCAUGUGCUGCCGAAACUGCUCCUGUAGACGGUAGAGGCUGAGAGGAGACGAAGCGUAGGAGUUGGUUUGGACUAAACCGCUGCCGAGAGCGCUGGAGGAUUGGAGAGACGGCGAGGCGAGAGGAGAAUCUGGAAGGGAUGUGCAGGAGAAGCUACAGCGUUAGCACUCCAUUGUGUGUUAAUAUUAAAAUACUCAGUGAUGCAGUGAUAAAGGAGAGAAGUUGAUUAUUUUCACCGAGCACAUCCCAGAAUAUUCCUUUUUUAGCCACUGAUUAAAUUUGUUUCUUUAUUAAAACCGA